CGGAGCACGUGAAAUUCCGUCGGAAUCUGGGAGGACCAUCUCCUAAGGCUAAAUACUCUCUAGUGACCGAUAGUGAACCAGUACCGUGAGGGAAAGGUGAAAAGCACCCCGGAAGGGGAGUGAAAUAGAACCUGAAACCGUGUGCUUACAAGUAGUCAGAGCCCGUUAAUGGGUGAUGGCGUGCCUUUUGUAGAAUGAACCGGCGAGUUACGAUUUGAUGCAAGGUUAAGCAGUAAAUGUGGAGCCGUAGCGAAAGCGAGUCUGAAUAGGGCGUUUAGUAUUUGGUCGUAGACCCGAAACCAGGUGAUCUACCCUUGGUCAGGUUGAAGUUCAGGUAACACUGAAUGGAGGACCGAACCGACUUACGUUGAAAAGUGAGCGGAUGAACUGAGGGUAGCGGAGAAAUUCCAAUCGAACCUGGAGAUAGCUGGUUCUCUCCGAAAUAGCUUUAGGGCUAGCCUCAAGUGAUGAUUAUUGGAGGUAGAGCACUGUUUGGACGAGGGGCCCCUCUCGGGUUACCGAAUUCAGACAAACUCCGAAUGCCAAUUAAUUUAACUUGGGAGUCAGAACAUGGGUGAUAAGGUCCGUGUUCGAAAGGGAAACAGCCCAGACCACCAGCUAAGGUCCCAAAAUAUAUGUUAAGUGGAAAAGGAUGUGGCGUUGCCCAGACAACUAGGAUGUUGGCUUAGAAGCAGCCAUCAUUUAAAGAGUGCGUAAUAGCUCACUAGUCGAGUGACACUGCGCCGAAAAUGUACCGGGGCUAAACAUAUUACCGAAGCUGUGGAUUGUCCUUUGGACAAUGGUAGGAGAGCGUUCUAAGGGCGUUGAAGCAUGAUCGUAAGGACAUGUGGAGCGCUUAGAAGUGAGAAUGCCGGUGUGAGUAGCGAAAGACGGGUGAGAAUCCCGUCCACCGAUUGACUAAGGUUUCCAGAGGAAGGCUCGUCCGCUCUGGGUUAGUCGGGUCCUAAGCUGAGGCCGACAGGCGUAGGCGAUGGAUAACAGGUUGAUAUUCCUGUACCACCUAUAAUCGUUUUAAUCGAUGGGGGGACGCAGUAGGAUAGGCGAAGCGUGCGAUUGGAUUGCACGUCUAAGCAGUAAGGCUGAGUAUUAGGCAAAUCCGG
rnacentral:rRNA from 1 species